rnacentral:rRNA from 1 species
UGGGGAAUUUUGGACAAUGGGGGCAACCCUGAUCCAGCAAUGCCGCGUGUGUGAAGAAGGCCUUCGGGUUGUAAAGCACUUUUGUCAGGAACGAAAAGGCGAAGGCUAAUAUCCUUUGCUGAUGACGGUACCUGAAGAAUAAGCACCGGCUAACUACGUGCCAGCAGCCGCGGUAAUACGUAGGGUGCAAGCGUUAAUCGGAAUUACUGGGCGUAAAGCGUGCGCAGGCGGUUGUGCAAGACAGAUGUGAAAUCCCCGGGCUUAACCUGGGAACUGCAUUUGUGACUGCACGGCUAGAGUGUGUCAGAGGGGGGUAGAAUUCCACGUGUAGCAGUGAAAUGCGUAGAUAUGUGGAGGAAUACCGAUGGCGAAGGCAGCCCCCUGGGAUAACACUGACGCUCAUGCACGAAAGCGUGGGGAGCAAAC